rnacentral:tRNA from 1 species
GAAUAUGAAGCGAUUUAUUGCAAUUAGUUUCGACCUAAUCUUAGGUAUACUACCCUUAUUCU